rnacentral:rRNA from 1 species
UAAAGUGUCCGUAGCCGGUAUGGUAAGUUCCUGGUAAAAUUGGGCAGCUUAACUGUCCUUGAUGCUAGGGAUACUGCUCUACUAGAGGGCGGGAGAGGUCUGAGGUACUACAGGGGUAGGGGUGAAAUCUUAUAAUCCUUGUAGGACCACCAGUGGCGAAAGCGUCAGACUGGAACGCGCCUGACGGUGAGGGACGAAAGCCAGGGGAGCGAACCGGAUUAGAUACCCGGGUAGUCCUGGCCGUAAACGAUGCGCACUAGGUGAUGGUGCGGCUAUGAGCCGCAUCAGUGUCGUAGGGAAACCGUUAAGUGUGCCGCCUGGGAAGUACGGUCGCAAGGCUUAAACUUAAAGGAAUUGGCGGGGGAGCACCACAAGGGGUGAAGCCUGCGGUUCAAUUGGACUCAACGCCGGGCAACUUACCAGGGGAGACAGCAGAAUGAGGGUCAGGUUGACGACCUUACCUGACAAGCUGAGAGGAGGUGCAUGGCCGUCGCCCAGUUCGUGCUGUGAGGUAUCCUGUUAAGUCAGGCAACGAACGAGACCCGCACCUUUAUUUGCCAGCAAGAAGUCACGACUUCGUUGGGAACGAUAAAGGGACCGCCGUCGAUAAGACGGAGGAGGGAGCGGGCAAAGGCAGGUCAGUAUGCCCCGAAACCCCUGGGCCACACGCGGGCUGCAAUGGUGCGAACAAUGGGCUGUGACUCCGAAAGGAGAAACCAAUCCCGAAAUCGCAUCUCAGUGGGGAUUGUCGACUGUAACUCGUUGACAUGAACGUGGAAU